AAAAAAAAAAAAAUAAAGGAAUAAUAUCAUUUUUAGUGGAUCCGCUGUCAACUCAUAGCAAACGUUCCAUCAUAUUCUACAUCGAGCUUCUCUUUGGUUUAAGGCUUGUAAUGGGAUUGAUCUAUUAGCAGGGCAGGCUAUUAUCAUCUCAGUUGAUUCCAUUCAACGAUACUCUAAUCGACAACUGAACAUAAAGGUAAUUUACUAUGGCAACCCCCUCCUUACUCAUUUCUGAAAUGGAAUGUUGAUGGAUCUUUGCUAGAGAAGCCAGGACGCUCGGGUGUUGGGGGGAGUUUUAAGAGAUUGUAAUGGUAAUAUUUCAUCGAUGUUUUCAAUCUCUCUUGGUGUGAUGGAAUCAAAUGAAGCAGAAAUUAAAGCUAUUGAAAAGGCACUCCAAGUUAUAGAUAAGUGUUCUGGGAUUAUUAUUGAAUUUGAUUCUGCUAAUGCUAUUUCUUACGUUAAAGGCGACUAUUGUCUGAGACUUUGGAGGUUUGGUUCGAUUUUCAAUAAUAUUGAUAAUCACCUCAGCGAAUUGAAUAAGGUAACAAUUGUUUUUCAACAUAUUUUCAGGGAAACGAACUAAUGGCUAGAUCAUACUUGCUGGUUUUUGUUGGUAUAUGAUGAUGGAUCUUGGUUUUGAACAGGGUGGGGGUCUCUUUGGCUUUCACCCUUCGUGUAUUAAGUUUAAGUUGUUUUGGUUACUCUUGAUGUAAUGUUCUGUUCAAUGAUAUUGAGGGAUUUUUUGUAAUAUGGAACUUGGGUAAUGGGUGUAUUGGAGAAGCUUGCUGGCUUGGGUUUAGUCCGCUCGGUAUUGCAAGCUUUUCCCCUCAUCCUUUUUUAAU
rnacentral:misc_RNA from 1 species